rnacentral:rRNA from 1 species
GUUCCAGCAGCCGCGGUAAUACCGGCAGCCCGAGUGAUGGCCGAUCUUAUUGGGCCUAAAGCGUCCGUAGCUGGCUGCGUAAGUCCGUUGGGAAAUCCACCCGCCUAACGGGUGGGCGUCCAGCGGAAACUGUCCGGCUUGGGGCCGAACGACCCGAGGGGUACGUCCGGGGUAGGAGUGAAAUCCUGUAAUCCUGGACGGACCGCCGGUGGCGAAAGCGCCUCGGGAGGACGGACCCGACGGUGAGGGACGAAAGCCAGGGUCUCGAACCGGAUUAGAUACCCCGGUAGUCC